AUACGGAGGAUCCGAGCGUUAUCCGGAUUUAUUGGGUUUAAAGGGUGCGCAGGCGGCCAUUUAAGUCAGCGGUUAAAUCGUGGGGCUCAACCCCAUUCUGCCGUUGAUACUGGGUGGCUUGAUUGCGGUCGAGGUUGGCGGAAUUCGUUGUGUAGCGGUGAAAUGCAUAGAUAUGACGAAGAACACCGAUUGCGUAGGCAGCUGACCAGACCGCAAAUGACGCUCAUGCACGAAAGUGCGGGGAUCGAACAGGAUUAGAUACCCUGGUCGUCCGCACAGUAAACGAUGAAUACUUGUUUUCGGCGAUAUAAUGUCGGAGGCAAAGCGAAAGCGAUAAGUAUUCCACCUGGGGAGUACGCCGGCAACGGUGAAACUCAAAUGAAUUGGCGGGG
rnacentral:rRNA from 1 species